GAUGAACGCUGGCGGUAUGCUUAACACAUGCAAGUCGAACGGACUCUUCGGAGUUAGUGGCGGACGGGUGAGUAACGCGUGAGAAUCUGGCUUUGGGUUCGGGACAACCACUGGAAACGGUGGCUAAUACCGGAUGUGCCGAGAGGUAAAAGAGAAAUUGCCUGAAGAUGAGCUCGCGUCUGAUUAGCUAGUUGGUGAGGUAAAGGCUCACCAAGGCAGCGAUCAGUAGCUGGUCUGAGAGGAUGACCAGCCACACUUGGACUGAGACACGGCCCAGACUCCUACGGGAGGCAAGAGGGGGGAAUUGUCCGCAAAGGGCGAAAGCCUGACGGGGCAAUACCGCGUGAGGGAAGGAGGCUCUUGGGGUGUAAACCUUUUUUCUUAGGGAAGAACAAAAUGACGGUACCUAAGGAAUCAGCAUCGGCUAACUCCGUG
rnacentral:rRNA from 1 species